rnacentral:ncRNA from 1 species
GAAAGCCUUAUGAUGGGAAACUACCACGUUAGGUUUGGAGAGAGAUGGGACCCGUUAUUCUAU